UAAUACAGAGGGUGCGAGCGUUGUCCGGAAUCACUGGGCGUAAAGGGCGCGUAGGUGGUAACCUAAGCGUGCGGUGAAAGCCCGAGGCUCAACCUCGGGUCGGCCGUGCGAACUGGGUCACUUGAGCAGAAUAGAGGCAGGUGGAAUUCCGGGUGUAGCGGUGGAAUGCGUAGAGAUCCGGAAGAACACCGGUGGCGAAGGCGGCCUGCUGGGUUCUGGCUGACACUGAGGCGCGACAGCGUGGGGAGCAAACA
rnacentral:rRNA from 1 species